rnacentral:lncRNA from 1 species
AAAAUAAAUGUCAGGAUAAGUAAAAACCGAGCUCCCGUAUAAUAAGAAUACCUAAGAACAAUAUUCAGGUUCGUUUUAUAACCUUACAAGAACUUGACCAGAUUGGGUCAAGUCUAGCCUACUGCACCGGGUCUAAAGGAUCUCUAUAAAAAUACUGUUUAAACGUUGAAUCUGGGUUAGUGACCACUACAAAUACACUAAAUAGAUAGCAUAAUCAAAAAUGGGUAAGCACCUCCACGUUGGAGUACAUUUCUAGAGGCAACUGCCCGGUUCAGUGAUAGAAACACAAGUGACAACUAGCUGUCAAAAAAUGUAAACAAAGAUCCGCAGUAUAGCGUUUGGCCGCACGUGAAUGCCAAUAUGACGUCACGUCCGGAUAAACAAAUGUGCAGAGGAAUCGCGCGUAUAUUUAGGAGCUUGAUUUCUACGAUAAAUAUGAUGAAUGGAAUGGUAACAUCGAUUGAAAUGAAUAAAGUACAGUCCAUAAUUACUAACAAAACCAACAAUCCAGGUUGACAAAGAGAAAUAAGCGUAAAAAUAGCGAUAUAAGUGGAGUUAAUCUGGGUCGCCAGACGCACAUAAAAGGGUAUUUAAGUACAAGAGAAUCAUUUGCAGACGUACUGUGCACACUUAUACCGAUAAACAGACAUACUGGAAUUUUAACUCGGCAUAACAGGAACAGAAGUCCUUAUACAACACUUACAGCAACCAUAAUGAUGAAUGCAGA